GACGAACGCUGGCGGCGUGCUUAACACAUGCAAGUCGAACGGAAAGGCCCUGCUUUUGUGGGGUGCUCGAGUGGCGAACGGGUGAGGAACACGUGAGUAACCUGCCCUUGACUUUGGGAUAACUUCAGGAAACUGGGGCUAAUACCGGAUAGGAGCUCCUGCUGCAUGGUGGGGGUUGGAAAGUUUCGGCGGUUGGGGAUGGACUGGCGGCUUAUCAGCUUGUUGGUGGGGUAGUGGCUUACCAAGGCUUUGACGGGUAGCCGGCCUGAGAGGGUGACCGGCCACAAUGGGACUGAGAGACGGACCAGACGCCUACGGGAGGCAGCAGUGGGGAAUAUUGCACAAUGGGCGGAAGCCUGAUGCAGCAACGCCGCGUGCGGGAUGACGGCCUUCGGGUUGUAAACCGCUUUCGCCUGUGACGAAGCGUGAGUGACGGUAAUGGGUAAAGAAGCACCGGCUAACUACGUG
rnacentral:rRNA from 1 species